UAUGUGUAAAAUAUUUGAAACAUUUUGUAACAAGUGUCAAGAAAUUUAUGCAAUUUCGUAAAAUCUACUGGAUUUUUCCCUAUUCACGUUGGCAGUUAUGAUAUUGGCUUUUUUUUAAGUUGUAUCAAAUUAAGAAAUCGACUUGCUAAACAUGGAAUAUAUAAUUAAAUUUAGUUACUUAGGAUCAUGGGCAGAAAUUAUGAAAAUUUAAUCACUGGUCUAAAGAAUCAAUAACUAAAAGAUAUUACUAAUCAUUACAUUUUCUCUAUUAAAUUUUAUUUUAAAAAAAACCUAUUUACUAACUUUAAAAAAUUACAAUGCAGAAAAGUGCGAUGUUCUAUUUUAUAAUGAAAUUUGCCAAUAUGUGAGAAACAAAAGCCAUUGAUUGCUGUCCCUAAGAGACCUCUAAUAAUUUAUUUUAUAGUGGUCUGAGACAAAUAUUAGUGGACUAAGCGAAAUGAGUCACCAUUCUUUUCUGGACCUGAUUAAUAUUAUUGAAUAAAAUUAAACUAAUUAUAUCAAAAUCGAGUUCUGCUAAAUGAUGUGCACAUUUCAUGAUAUUAAAUAGAUAUUUAAUUGCAGAAAAAAGACAAUCCUGAAUUUGAAAGUAUUCUGAAGACACGUGUUAAGAGGGCCUUAAAUCCAUCUUCUUCAGAGACACCCAAAGAUGCUACAGCUGAAGCAAAGAUGAAUUAUUUAGUAAAUUUUCUAAAAAGAAACCUACCUCUCCAAGACUUGUGUGUUUAUGUUGCUGGUAGCAGUAAACUACAAUCUGAAAGAGCUGAA